rnacentral:rRNA from 1 species
AGCGAACGCUGGCGGCAGGCCUAACACAUGCAAGUCGAACGGACCCUUCGGGGUUAGUGGCGGACGGGUGAGUAACACGUGGGAACGUGCCUUUAGGUUCGGAAUAGCUCCUGGAAACGGGUGGUAAUGCCGAAUGUGCCCUUCGGGGGAAAGAUUUAUCGCCUUUAGAGCGGCCCGCGUCUGAUUAGCUAGUUGGUGGGGUAAUGGCCCACCAAGGCUACGAUCAGUAGCUGGUCUGAGAGGAUGACCAGCCACAUUGGGACUGAGACACGGCCCAAACUCCUACGGGAGGCAGCAGUGGGGAAUCUUGCGCAAUGGGCGAAAGCCUGACGCAGCCAUGCCGCGUGUAUGAUGAAGGUCUUAGGAUUGUAAAAUACUUUCACCGGUGAAGAUAAUGACUGUAGCCGGAGAAGAAGCCCCGGCUAACUUCGUGCCAGCAGCCGCCGCAGUAA